rnacentral:rRNA from 1 species
UACAGAGGGUGCGAGCGUUGUCCGGAAUCACUGGGCGUAAAGGGCGCGUAGGUGGCUGGGUAAGUGUGCGGUGAAAGCCCGGGGCUCAACCCCGGGUCGGCCGUGCAGACUGCUUGGCUUGAGCAUAGUAGAGGCAGGUGGAAUUCCGGGUGUAGCGGUGGAAUGCGUAGAUAUAUGGAGGAAUACCAGUGGCGAAGGCGGCCUCCUGGCUCGAUACUGACGCUGAGGUGCGAAAGCGUGGGGAUCAAACAGG